CACGCCCUAAACGUUGCAGACUCGCUAUUUUGAGUAUCGACCCUCAAAGUGGCUAAGCUAACGCGGUAAGUCUGCCGCCUGGGAAGUACGAUCGCAAGAUUAAAACUCAAAGGAAUAGACGGGGAGACGCACAAGCAGUGGAUUAUGUGGUUUAAUUCGAUAGUAAACGAAGAACCUCACCAAGAUUUGAAACUAAGGAGAAAACCCUAGAAAUAGGGCCCUCGCAAGACCCCUUAGCAGGUGA
rnacentral:rRNA from 1 species